AAUCAACGCUGGCGGCGUGCCCCAGACAUGCAAGUCGAACGCGAAAGUCCCCUUCGGGGGACAAGUAGAGUGGCGCACGGGUGAGUAACACGUAGGUAAUCUACCUUUGGAUGGGGAAUAACAACCGGAAACGGUUGCUAAUACCGCAUAAUGCAGCGGCACCUAAUGGUGACAGUUGUUAAAGCGGGGGAUCGAAAGACCUCGCGUCUAAAGAGGAGCCUGCGGCGGAUUAGCUAGUUGGUAAGGUAAGGCUUACCAAGGCUACGAUCCGUAACCGGCCUGAGAGGGCGGUCGGUCACACUGACACUGACAUACGGGUCAGACUCCUACGGGAGGCAGCAGUCGGGAA
rnacentral:rRNA from 1 species